AGACACAAGGAGAGGCUUGGAGAGAGCAGACGCCUUCUGGAUUCAAGAAGACGAGGUGAGCUGAGGUACCUGGCUUUAGUGAAGACCCUGUGGGGGCUUCCUGGCUGCGGCUUCGACGUGCCUGACUCCACACGCCCCUAAGGCUCACCUGUUACUCGGCCUCCCAGAAAGAUGGAUAGGAGAAAUGACUACGGAUAUAGGGUGCCUCUAUUUCAGGUGAGGCCUCUCUGCAUUCUCUCUAGGCCAUCUGCCCCAUCCUGAGUUCACUUACUGCUCUUCAGACCCCUUCCACCGUGUAGUUUCAUAAUUCCCUGCCUAACUCGUCUCAGUCCUCCCUUACAUGGUGAAGGAGAGGAGAGGAAAACCUGCCUGACUCUAUUCCUUCCUUGCUCCCUACCCCAUUUUAAUUAACCACUGCUCAGAGGAAGGGAAGGCCUUUGUGGAAAGGGAUGGGCUUUAGCGAGGCCAAAUGGCCCAGAGGAUGGUAAUCCUAAGUGUGUAGGGCCCUCUGCCUCCCCCGGGGAGCCUGGGGCUUCCCUUCCCUCCAGAUAUACAGACUGAGACCACAGAAGAGGACAGUGUCCUGCUGAUGCAUACCC
rnacentral:lncRNA from 1 species